rnacentral:tRNA from 3 species
GGGCCCGUAGCUCAGCGGUUAGAGCAGCGGACUCAUAAUCCGUUGGUCCCAGGUUCAAAUCCUGGCGGGCCCACCA